GCACAACAUGCUCAACAAGAAGAUGAAACAAGAAUAAAUCUUGAUUCCUUGCUCGUGGAUUAGGAUAAUUUCUCUUUCUCCAUGUUGUUUGCCUUUCGUGGCGUUGGGUGUUGAUUGGGGUCUAUAGGAGAUUGGACUGUUGUUGCAAAUGGGAGAAAGGAAAUAUGUCGAGGAACUUUGCAUUUGGUCUAAGGGGCUAACAACGAAGGUAUGUCUAUAUGAGGUGAGAGUGAAAUGGGUCUAUUUAGAGGCAACAAAUGGUGGAGGGUGAUCAAUGGGUAUAGAAGUAGAGGACGGAAAUGGGUUUGUGGUGAUUUGACUGAAUGAGGGAGCAGGUCUGCAUGUGGAAAGUCUCAACAAGAAUGAGUUAUGAUGGCCUUGAUUUGCAUUGCAAAGGAUGAGGAGAUGGUGGCAAAGGAGUUGCGUGUCCGUGUGCGUGUUGGAGGGGAAGGGGAAAAUGGGGAGCGAUGUCGCUAGGUUUUUGUAGUGGCUGUAUGCUUUGGUGCUACUGCUGGGUUUAUGAGUGGUGAGAUGAGGGUUGUAGAGUGGGUGUUGUGCUUGUUGUGAUGGUGAAAGAAGCAAAGCUGCGAGGGGAUGCAAGUUUGACGAAGGCGACAGGAAAAGGGCAUAAGCAAUUGUGUCUCUGUUGUUAGG
rnacentral:misc_RNA from 1 species